rnacentral:lncRNA from 1 species
GCCCACCAAUGAGUGAUCAGAGAGACAGAGGAACAACGAGAACAAGAUACCAUGACUUUUUUUUUUUUAAUGUUUCAAGGAAAAGGAAGUGCUUACAAUAUCAAAGAUCACGGAGCAAUCUAGGAAAGUGAGGAGCUGCGAAGAGUCCGGACAUGGCACAGGCCAGACCCCGGUGAUUCCGGAUAGACGCGGGUUCCAUGGAGAGAGAAGUUUGGAAGCCACGCCAGAGAGCUGAAAAAUAAAGGUCGAGGGUGUCCCCCGCUGGCUAUGGCCUGGCCCCUUGUGAGAUCUGCCGAGCUGUUGAAGGCUGGAGACCCCAUCCUGCAUGCCAGGCUGUGUCAGGGAUCGCCAAGGCAACUCUCAGGUUUGAUGAUGCUCUCGAAGGACUUACGGAACUCAAGAAGCUGUUACACUUUUUCUCAGUCUAUACUGUGAUACAGGUUAAAAUCGGCAAAGGAAUAAGGGACAGAGGGCAGAGUCCAAGAAAAACCAAGCAUGAGUGUCCAGAUCCUCUCCGAGUGGAAUCAGAGGGAAUAGCUCUUGUUGGUCCCAGCAACAGCACACGUAUGAAGUAUUGCCAGUCAGCAAAGCUCCCCUGAGACUUGGUAUUGAGGAUUUAACUGGGGGGGUCUUGUAGGCAUGAAGCACCCACAUGACUGACCUUCACCCCCAGCCCAUACCCCUCAAGAAGUCAAACUCAUUGAGGAUGGCCCAAGGCUCCAGGCAAAUAAAAACAAGCAUUCACCAUAAAUUUCACUGUUAGCACAAACUAUCCAACAUGGCCCCAGGCGUGCAAAGACACUCUUAGCAGCUGGACAUCCCAGUGGCUCCAAAGUUAGCUCCCAGGGGCUGGUCAAGGGCUCAUCUUGAAGACCUAGAACACGUGGGGUUUGGACAACCUAGACCUCCUGGGUUAAACUUUUGUGCACACCUGCCAUGACAGCUUCAUCUGCUGGGAAGCUCGCGGGAAGAAAAGACUUCUGAUUAAAUCCUAUUUCUUUCGUCUUUAU